UACGUAGGGUCCGAGCGUUGUCCGGAGUUACUGGGCGUAAAGCGCGCGCAGGUGGUUCACUAAGCCCGGCGUGAAAGCCCCCGGCUCAACCGGGGAGGGUCGUCGGGGACUGGUGAACUUGAGGGCGGCAGGGGCUGGUGGAAUCCCCGGUGUAGUGGUGAAAUGCGUAGAGAUCGGGGGGAACACCCGUGGCGAAGGCGGCCAGCUGGGCCGUCCCUGACACUGAGGCGCGAAGGCGUGGGGAGCGAACGGG
rnacentral:rRNA from 1 species